UGAAAACAUACAGAACAACUUUGCAAUGUGCAGAUAUACAGCAGUACUCACCUCAAAUUACAGAAAGUCAUACAACAAGAUCCCUGCUGGUUCCAUGAUACACACAUUCCAUACACAGACACAGACACAUUCCAUACACACACACACAUUCCAUACACGUGCACACACACAUUCCAUACACACAGACACACAUUCCAUACACACAGACACACAUUCCAUACACACACAUUCCAUACAUACACACACAUUCCACACACACACAUUCCAUACACAUACACACACAUUCCAUACACGCACACACACAUUCCAUACACACAAACAUUCCAUACACACACACACAUUCCAUACACAUACACAGACACACAUUCCAUACACACACACACAUUCCAUACACAGACACACAUUCCAUAAACACACACACAUUCCAUACACACACACAUUCCAUACACACACACAUUCCAUAUACACACAUUCCAUACACACACAUAGACACACAUUCCAUAUACACACACGCCAUACACACAUUCCAAACACACACACACAUUCCAUACACACACAUAUUCCAUACACACACAUUCCAUACACACAUACAUACACACACACAUACACAGACACACAUUCCAUGCACACACACACAUUCCAUACACACACACAUUCCAUACACACACCUUCCAUAGCAACAGACACACGCUCCAUACACACACAUUGCAUACACAUACACACACAUUCCAUACACACACAUUCCAUACACAUGCACAGUUACCCAUUCCAUACACACACACAUUCCAUACACAGACACACACCAUACACACACACAGACACACAUUCCAUACACACACACAUUCUGUAUGCACACACACACAUUCCAUACCCACACACACACAUUCGAUACGCACAUAUAUUCCAUAUACACACACACAUUCCAUACACAGACACAUUCCAUACACACACAGACACAUUCCAUACACAUACACAGACACAUUCUGUACACACAGACACACAUUCCAUACACAGACACAUUCCAUACACACACAGACACAUUCCAUACACAUACACAGACACAUUCUGUACACACAGACACACAUUCCAUACACACACACACAUUCCAUACACAUACACAGACACACAUUCCAUACACACACACAUUCCAUACGCACAAACACAUUCCAUACACACACACAUAUUCCAUAAACACAAACACAUUCCAUACACACACACAGACUAAUUCCAUACACAGAGACACAUUCCAUACACUUACGCAGACACAUUCCACACACACACACAUUCCAUGCACACACAUAGACUCAUUCCGUACACACACAUAGACACAUUCCAUACACACACAGACACAUUCCAUAUGCAUACGCAGGUAUGUCCCCAAAGAAAUAGAUUGUCUCCAUCAUAUGCACAUUAACCCAACGAAAUACUUUUGGAGCUCUGUAACACCCAAACUUGAC
rnacentral:lncRNA from 1 species